ACACCGUUGGUGAAGUGGUUAUCAUGCUUGCCUUCCAUAGUGAGCUUGGGGGAAAUUCAGCAAGCGGCUCGGGUUCGAUUCCCGAACGGUGUA